rnacentral:rRNA from 1 species
ACAGCAGUCGCCACGGUAAUACGUAGGGUGCGAGCGUUAAUCGGAAUUACUGGGCGUAAAGCGUGCGCAGGCGGUUUUGUAAGACAGAGGUGAAAUCCCCGGGCUCAACCUGGGAACUGCCUUUGUGACUGCAAGGCUAGAGUACGGCAGAGGGGGAUGGAAUUCCGCGUGUAGCAGUGAAAUGCGUAGAUAUGCGGAGGAACACCGAUGGCGAAGGCAAUCCCCUGGGCCUGUACUGACGCUCAUGCACGAAAGCGUGGGGAGCAAACAGGAUUAGAUACCCGCGUAGUCCCUGUCUCUUAUAC